AGCGAACGCUGGCGGCAGGCCUAACACAUGCAAGUCGAACGAGCCUUCGGGCUAGUGGCGGACGGGUGAGUAACACGUGGGAACGUACCUUUAGGUUCGGAACAACUCAGGGAAACUUGAGCUAAUACCGGAUAAGCCCUUCGGGGGAAAGAUUUAUCGCCUUUAGAGCGGCCCGCGUUAGAUUAGCUAGUUGGUGGGGU
rnacentral:rRNA from 1 species